GUGCAUUUCGCAGCUUUGAGUAAACUUCAAGACACAGAAGCGCAGCUUAUUUCGAUCUCAAGUUUCAUCUAGCGUUCGCUUACGUGUCGCAAAAGUGGAGAAAGCAAUAUGCUGGUUCUGCCUGCGCUCUGCAGCGUACCAGGCACCGCGUCACUCUGAUCCGCAGUUGUUGACCUGCGCGCCCUCAUCGACACACAGACGUGGUAUCCAGGACGAAGCGCGUCCGCUGGUCUCGUUGUGAUCCGGCAAAUGCGCCCACGCCCGUGGCGCAAACACUACAUGGAACUUUUCUCUGGGUUGCUGCUGGCGUUCGUCUCGAUUUUCUGAACGCGAUCGCGGGCGUAUUCGAGCAUUCUGCGAGUGUACCUGGAAGCAAACACCUCAAAGUAAUAGUUACUUCCGUUCCACACGACGAUGAGACCGACAAAUGCCAACACGAUUUCGUGCAUCCAUUUGUAACGCCAGAACAGCGCCGUAGGCAAACAAGUCACCCCAGUGAAAAUCAGCUGCCAAAAAGCGAGUGCCAAAUUCUGGUAUCGCUCGCCGAAGAUAUUCAGCAUCCGGGAGACUGCCGAGCCCGAGUGACGUGUGAGCCAUCGCAGGCUUGUGAUCAAUUCAGGGUUUCGAUCGAGCUUUCGACGAGAGAUAACCAGAAUCUUUGCAAGAUACAAGGUUUGCCAGAUUAGAAAGAUCACCAGCGGCACUGCCACCGUAAACGCGCGACGUCCUAACGCGAUACAGUCUGCUUCGUGGCUGCAGAUACCGAUCCGUCGCGAGAUGAUCAAGUCUGAAUGCCAACGAGCAUUGUACGUCACUAGUGGGGGAAAUAU